UCCCGGUCCCCACAGUUGUCCUCCGUGCUUCGCUCUUCUUUUUUUUUUCUAGCUCAGUCAGUCCCACCAGCAGCCGGGUGCUACAGGAGGAGUUCCCGUUGCCGUCUUGGACUUAUUUUCAUUCCAGAUCGGACACCGAAUAACUAUCUCGGAAGAUGCUCUUCUUUCUGCUACCUGCCUUGGCUCUCUUGCUGAGCACCGAAACGGCGGUCUACGCUAUCAGUCACGAGAAAUGGCCGGGCACCGUGGCUCAGUACAACAAGGAUCGAUCCUGGAACAGAUUCAGAGAUGGUUAAGCAAGAAGUUAGUUCCUCAAACCCUUCUGUGAUACAGGGUUUAUCCAUAAAUUCCCAGGUUUCUUGAAUGUCUUGAUUGAAUUUGCUUCACUUUUCUGAGGU